UCGAUUAAAUCAAUAGUCGGCUGUAAAUCAUGUCCAAAAUCAAUGAAAUCCCAUACAAUUUCUUCUUUCAUAUAUUCUUCUUGCUCCAAUACGAACAUGUGAUGGUUAAAGAAUUGUUGCAACUUUUCAUUUGUGUAAUUAAUGCAAAGUUGUUCAAAACUGUUUUUCUCAAAGAUUUCGAAACCGGCGAUAUCUAAAAUACC